GUGUGUUGGGGCAGCGGGAGGCGGCGGCGGCAGGGGCUGGCGACGCGUGUGUAGCCGGGCUGGGUGUGUGUGACUUCCUGUGGUAUAUUUAUGGCCAGGGCUUCGAUUUCCGGUAGCUGAUACGAGCCCUCUCUCCUCGCACGGAGCGUUUAAUAAUAUCGCUGAGGGGGAAGGCGGAGGAAAAGCUUUCUGCACACACACACGCGCGCGCGCGGGCACAGUGUGAGGUGAGGAGGAGGUGGAAGAAGACCGAGCACGGGGGAUGAAAGACACCUCAGGCACACACACAAACACACACCACACUCCCCUUCCUAGUCCGAACAAUAUAUGACGGUCAGGAGCGCAACCGCGCCAUUCAAUAUCACGAAUAGAGCACCAGCUCCUCCCGCCCCUCGCGACACGCGCGCCCCGCAUUCCUAUGGACAGGCACGUGCAGGUACGGAGCUGUUGAGCCUGCACCAUGGAGGACUGCCUUCACACUUCUUCCGAAAACCUUUCCAAGCUGGUCAGCUGGGCCCACAGCCACGGGACCAUAUGCACCCUCAUUCCAAAUCUGAAGCACCUUCUUUCAGAGGGCUCACAUGGCAACCUGACAGCUAUGUGGGGCUGCAGUGCAGGCCAUGCCUAUCACUGGCCUCUGACGGCAACCUGUAGAGCAGGCUCGCAGGAAAGAGUAUGUUUCCAGGACAACAGGAGCUUCAACUCGGACAGCCCCAGCCUCAUGGGCAUGCCCCCGGACACACAAGCCAGCCCAGUGGAACGCUACUCUGGGAGGCCAGGGAAAGCAAAGUUGGACUGCAACAGAACCAGAGACUCCUGUGAUUUCUCUUACUGCAGUGAGCCCUCAGAGUUAGAUGAAACCGUGGAGGAAUAUGAAGAUGAAGCUACUCUUUUUGACAUGGUCUGUGAGUCCUCGGUAACAGAUGAAGAUAGUGACUUUGAACCUCGCCCUCAAAGAUCUCAGACCAAUUCCCGCAAAAGGCCAGCCCCGGGCGCCACCUCCUCGUUCCAUCCAGGCUCCCAUUCUCAGGUCGUCGAUGAGAACAGUAGCAAUGUGUCCGUCAAAAAAAUCAAGCAAGAACUCCCCGAGGAUUAUUACAUUGUGGCUAACGCAGAGAUCACCGGUGGCAUCGACGGCCCUGCGUUGUCCUUGACACAGAUGUCGAAACCCAAAGCUCACCCUGCAGCCUCCUACCCUGUGCCGUCUAAAUCCACCCCUCAUUCGCCACCUUCACUCAUUGCUGAAUAUGAUUUGCAGAACAUCUCUGCCUCCCCCCAGAAGCCUCCCAAAGUAACUCUGGCUUCGGCAGGUAAAGGGCCUGGAAGCAGCCUGGCCGUCAACCCUCAGGCAGCCCUGCAGAUGCCUGCCAGCACUUCCAAUGCUGGCAAGUCGUUAAGCAUUCCUUUAUCGGCCUUGCAACUCCCUGGGCAAGAGGAGCAAGCGACCUCAGAAGAUGCCCUCCAGCCUGUGCCAAAUCAGGUUCCCAGCGAUGUAGCACUGUCUCCUUCUGCUAGCACAGAGCCAGAAGUUAGCUCCAGUCAGCAGCACCCAAGCACAGCUCCUGCCAUCACCACGGAGCCAAUGACACAGACAAUACCAGACCAAGAUGAGAGAGCCGCAGAACUGAGCAGAGAGCAAAAUGAGAAAACCAUACGCAGUACCCAGACAGCCCUCCGAAACUUCAGGGAGUUUCUCAUCUCUAAAUAUCCCUCGGAAACGCGGGAGAUCUACAUCAUUCCUUGCAAAGAGCUGGAUGCUUAUUUAGCGUCGUUCUUUGUCGAUGCCCGGCAGAAGGAUGGUUCGGAAUAUGAGCCAAAUAGUUUGGCCAAUUACCAAUGUGGGCUGGAGAGGUAUCUCAAAGAGCACCGGUAUGGAUACAGCAUUACCAGGGACAAGGAAUUCAAGAGGUCUCAAGAAGCCCUGAAGCAGAAGCAGAUAGAGCUGAGGUGCAAAGGGAAAGGCAACAAGCCACACAAGUCCAUGAAGCUUACCUUUGCAGAUGAGCUUAUCUUGCGCAAGAGAGGCCUACUGAGCCGAUACAACCCCGAGGGACUGCUGAACCUCGUCUGGCUUAACAACACCAAGGCGUUUGGCCAUUGUACCGGCUUCCAUGGCUCCACCCUCAAAUGGGGGGACAUUAGGCUUCGGGUGACGGAGACAGGGCUGGAAUAUUUGGAAUGGAUGGGUCAGGACAGCGGUGAUGGGAGCACCAAAACCAAGAGGACGGGCACGGACUCCAGAGUGUACGCAACGCAACACGCUCCGCAGACCUGCCCCGUGCAAGACUACAAGGAGUAUGCACAAAGGCGGCCCCCUGCAAUGCGAUACGAGGAUGCUCCUUUCUACUUGUCCAUCAAGCCGGUUGUUAACCUAGCUGCACUUCAUUGGUACAAUUGUCAAGCGCUAGGUAAAAAUAAGCUGGCCAAGAUGGUCAAGACGAUGUGCGAGAAGGGGAACAUCCCUGGUAGGAAGACCAAUUUCAGCGUGUACCAGAGCUGUAGCACACUCUCCGAAGCUCAAAGCAACCAGCUGGUUCUGAUUUGCAACAACUUAAGCCAGCAGGCUGCUCAGUCCAUGGCGAGCCACUCUGGCUCUGGUAACUUCAUUGUGUCUGCAUCUUAUGACUCUUCUUCAGACACGGCUUGAAAGGACUAGAGAUGGGAACAUGUUGUGUUUGAAGCUGUGGGUCUCUGCCCAGGAACACACAUCAGUUGUGAAUCUACACUGCUACCAUCCUGACUCACCUUUCCCCAGUGUUAAUUCACUUUAUUAAAACAAAUAAUAUAUCUAUCUAUCUAUAUAUAUAUAUAUUAUUUUUACAAAGAUGUGAAUAGAAAUAGUUUAGUAUAACUUAUAUAGUAUUUAUAGUGCUGAUAUGGGGGGAGGGAAUGAAACCUACUUAUAGGGUGCUAAUAUAAUGGUAGAUUUUCAAAAGGGGAAAUAGUUUUCAGACAUAUACAAGGCAGGCCAUAGUCUUUAGGCAGAGGCAAGCAACCUAGCAGUUUGAAAGCACCUCAAAGUGCAAGUAGAUAUAGGCACCGCUCUGGCAGGAAGGUAAACGGCGUUUCCGUGCGCUGCUCUGGUUCGCCAGAAGCAGCUUAGUCAUGCUGGCCACAUGACCCGGAAAGCUGUGUGGGGACAAACGCCGGCUCCCUCGGCCUAUAGAGCGAGAUGAGCGCCGCAACCCCAGAGUCAUCCACGACUGGACCUAACGGUCAGGGGUACCUUUACCUUUAAGCAACACUAUGCACUUAAGUCAGUUGUAACACAGACAUAUCUUGAGAAGACCCUCUGUGAAGACAACAUAGUUCAUGAGUGGGAACUGAGCACUGGGGACACUGUGCCCAACAGUGGUACCCCAGAGUGCUUUUCUGCACCGCCUGUUUAUUGCCUUUGAGCUUGUGCAGAAGGUGUUGGCAUUAAAUCAUGUCCAAAAUGCAUCACUUGCACCUAAACAUAUUUGUUUCUUGUUUGUUUGUUUGUUUUUAAAAAUGAGCGUAUAUUCCCCACGAUGCUUCAUGUCUUUUGAAAGUUUGCUGUUAAUACAACAUGAAUUAAGUAUUGUGUGUGGAGGGAAGAGGGAUAAUUUUCUAUUUUCUAUCUUGCUGGCAAAUAUGGUUCUUUUCCAGCCUGAUUUAAGGGGGAGAGAAGGAACAAAGAAAAUGCAGCUUACUGGAGCUUUCCUCUCUAUUUUUUAUUUGCUCUUUGUCUCUCCAUCGUGCCAGCUUGGGGGGUGGGGGAAGACUUGAUAAUGAUCAACACAGUGAAAAACAACAAUGGUCUUUGAAAAAAAAAGGGUAUAAUAUUUAUCCAUAUGCAAAAACAAAUGUCAUGGCAAAAAACCAGACUGUUGCACAAACAAAGAAUCUUAACUUUCCCCAGCUGAGAACCAGUGUUUUAGCACUUUUGUGACUAGUCGUGUAUAUAUGUAUAUGUAUAUGUAUAUGUAUAUGUAUAUGUAUAUGUAUAUGUAUAUAUGUAUAUGCUGUCAAAGAUUAUAGCUGUUCCACCAAGCACACACAAUGCAAAACAGAAUUAUGAGGUUGCUUAAAUUGUGGCCAGCAUUUGGAUUUCCUUGAAAAAACAGCAAUAACAGCAAAAACAAUGCCCCCUCCCCCAAAUCUUCCAGGAACCAUGAAAAGCUGAGAGUACAGUCGCAAACCUCAUUUCGUUCUUGUUUUACUUGGGGGGCUUUUCUAGGGAAUCAACAUGAAAACAGAGAGACCUCCCUGCCCCUCUUAAGUUCCAAGUACACUUGUUGUGUGAUGCUCCAUAGUAAACACACAUGCUUUUUGGGGUCUUUGCCCUAGCUAGAUCUGGAGAGAACUGGGUUUUCUUUUUCGAGGAGCAAACACAGUUGUUCCCCUGCAGCAGGGUUCCCCUGCCAUACAGCAUAUCAAGGGUAGCCAAUGUGGUACCCACCAUAUGGUGUUGGGACUCCCAGAUUGCAUCAUCGCCAGCCAGCAUGGCCAAUGACCAAGGAUGAUCAGGGUUGUAGGCUGGCGGCGCCUGCCCAUUACACUGGCUACCUCUGCGAUACAGUCGUACCUCGGAAGUUGAACACCUUGUGACUUGAAUGUUUUGGCUCCCUAACGCCGCAAACCCAGAAGCGAGUGUUCCGGUUUGCGAACGUUCUUUGGAACCCAAAUGUCCAAUGCGGGUUACACAGGUUCCAAUUGGCUGCAGGAGCUUCCUGCCGCCAAUCGGAAGCCAUGCCUUGGUUUCCAAACGUUUUGGAAGUCGAACGGACUUUCGGAACGGAUUCCGUUCGACUUCUGAGGUACGGCUGUAUGUGGUUCUUACGGAUUGCCACACUACCAGUGUGUACAGAGGGCACCAGAUUGAGGAAAGCUGAUCUAAAAAUUAAAAACGGAAUAGACUCGGUGAGGCAAAUGGUGAAACGGCAUGUGCGAACUGGCCCCAUAUUCCAUUAUAUACAACUUAGCACUAGGGAAUCUGUAGCGGGAGCGGGGAGGGGGACUUUUGAUCUAUAUGCCACAUUUAAUCCUCCUGGUGAUUUGAUUCUCCCAUCACAUAUUUUAGGAAAUUUGCAUUGUUUUGUUACAAAACAAUUUUCUAUGGAGCGAAUUUUUUAUAGUAUAUUAAAUCUCACACAGUAACAUCUGAUGGGGGUGGCCAACUUGAAUAAAAUAUGGGGAGGGGGAGGUAUGUAUAAUUGAUCAUAAGACGUGGCACAUGCACACCAUUUGAAUGGCAAUGCUCAUCAACUUUUUGGGGCGUGGCAGACCCCUCAAAUAUAUUUUUUUGGGGGGGACCUCAGCCCCUAGGAGUUGGCUCCUAUGCAUCUGAUGUUUUCUAAUUCAAGAAUAGCCAACUAUUCAUCUGGGGCCUAAAAGCAGAUCUGAAAGCCCUUUGUCUGCGCCUGAUGUAGGGGGCAGAUGAAAGAGCAGAUAGGUAUUACUCUUUUGCACCUUUAAUUGCUGUGUGGAAGAGGGGAUUUCAGCAACACAAUUUACUUAAGGUGCAAUAGCCCUGUCUACAUUUUCAUUUGGCCACCAGAUUUUAACCAAGGCUAUUAUAUAGUCUAUGCCCAUAUUUCCACUCAUAAGGGGAAAAAAUGUUUUCAUGUUACAGGAGCCAUUCCAUACAUUGUUACAUCUCUCUUUGGGAGUUUAUAAUGCUCCAGCUAUGCUUGAGCACAUUGCUCCUUAACUUGUAGCACUCUUAUUGGUAGAUGUCAUCAACUUUAGUACAGAACCUGCCCAUUUGUGAUGAGAUCAGUUUGUGCAGCAAAAUAUACGUCCCCUCCUCCCUCAACUGCUGAGAAUAUGGAAGUUGGUUGUCCUUGUUUUCUUUUAACCAAUUCCCUGUUCCAACUGUAGUCAACUUUUUUAACAGCAAGGCUUUUUGGGGGGAGGAUUAAUUUGCUUCUAAAAAUGAAUAAAUCUCUGUCUUGCCAAAAAAUAAAAAAAAAUCCUAUGCAUUGUGUAAAUUCAGUGAUGUUCCUGUUAAAUAUGCAUGUUUUAUCAAUGCAUUUGUGAUCUUUGUAGGAUUGUUAACCAUUGCUGCUAUAACCAUUUAUUGUAGUUAAAUGGGGGUAAAUGGUACACUUUACUGUGAGGGCUGUGCAAGUUAACAGUUUUAUGUGUGACAUUACAACUUGUAUCUUUUUUAUAUUUUAUUUAUAUAUUUUUAAAUCUGGGGCUCAUACUAGUGCCUUCUGUAGAAGGAAAAUAUAAUAUGUUGUGGUUGAUAAAUUGUGCCAAAUUUUUCAAGUCAUGCUGUUCUAAGACAUCCGGUCUGUGACCAGGGCAAACAAAUAGUUAAUGUGUUAUUUUGGGGACCAACUUUAUAUUGUUAUUAUAAAUCAUUUAAAUAGCACUUUUAAAAUGUCCUAGGUGGGUCAGUAUGAUUCUCAUUAUACAGUUGGGGAAACCGUGGCUUCCCAGCAGGGUGCAUCUAGAUGACAGACUUUAACUGGUUUAGUAUUCAUUUCGUCUUCUCAUGGAACCCAAAAAAAUCUAUUGUAACUGUGAGGGGGCGGGGAAUGCUAAGGAUAUACUGUAACGGAGAAUUCUCAGCUAUUCACAGUCUAAGAUUUUAGUGAAACAUUGGCCCUGGGAAAGACUACUUUUUAUCUUUACCAAGAUAGUUCCUAACAAAUUUUCAUAAACCCUUCGCCCACAGUGUUGCAGUGUAUUUUAUGGGAGGUGCUGUAAGCCUGCACGGUGUCUACAACAUCAUUUAAAGAAUGCCACCAAACCACAAAAGUUGGCCACUAACAAGCUCUCAGUUUUGCAAAUGGAAACCAGAUAAGCAGUUGAGGUUUCCCCCCUAAAUUAAAUAACAUAAAAGUGGGAAAAAAUGUUUAGGUGCUUGAUGGCAAAGGAUUCUUUGUUGGUGAAACAGGAAGUUGCUAACUGAGGAACUCUGGAUCCCGGUUAGUUAUAUGAUUUUGUGGAAUUCUUUAUCUGAUUCUUUAUUAAGCUUCACGGAGAGCCACAUCUCCACAGAAGACCACUUGCUUUGCAUUCAGAAGGCCCCAAGUUCAAUCCCUGGCAGCUCCAGAUAGCUCUAGGAGAGUCUCCUUGUCUGAGAUGCUGGAGGGCCAGUUAGUGUGGACCAGGGAUGGGGAAUAUGUGGCCUUCCAGAUGUUGGAUUCCAGUUCCCAUCAGCCCCAGGCAGCAUGUCCAAUGGUCAGGGAUUAUGGGAGCUGUAGUCCAGUGUUUCUCAACCUUUUUUGGGCCAAGGCACACUUGUUCCAUGAAAAAAAUCACGAGGCACACCACCAUUAAAAAAGUUAAAACAUUUAACUCUGUGCCGCCCUAUAUUGACUAUAUAAUUAUGACUGUAAGAAACACUUGCCAAUUGCUGUGUUGGUUGCAAUCUCCUGUAAUAAGGCUUCACAAGCCGCUGAUUUCUCUGCCAGCACAAUCCUUUGCUCAGCAAGUUUCAGGUUGAGCUUAUCCAGCCAGCUUCUUUAAGUUUGUCUAAAACCACCCUCCCGUGGUGGUGGCUGUUGAGAGCUGCGCUCGCCCCGCAUCGUGACCCGGCCGGCUUCCUUUCCGGCGGGUCAGUGCUGUAAAUUGGCAGCCGCCAGGCACGUGACAAUGCAAAUCGCCCUUCUCGUCGCGGCACGUCGCGGCACACCAGCCAGCGUCUCGCGGCACACUAGUGUGCCGCGGAACAGCGGUUGAGAAAUGCUGCUGUAGUCCAAAGGAACAUAGGUUUCCCAUCCUUGGUGUAGACCAGGCACCCCCAAACUCAGCACUCCAGCUGUUUUGGGACUACAAUUGCCAUCAUCCCUGACCACUGGUCCUGUUAGCUAGGGAUGAUGGGAGAUGUAGUCCCAAAAUAGCUGAAGGGCCGAGCUUGGGGAUGCCUGAUGUAGACACUACCAGCCUAGAUGGGCUAAUGGUCUGUUUUGGUGUAAGGCCAUUUCCUAUAUUCCUGGAAUAGGUAAGGUAAAGGAUGCAGGUGGCGCUGUGGUCUAAACCACUGAGCCUCUUGGGCUUGCCAAUCAGAAGGUCGGUGGUUCGAAUCCCCAUGACGGAGUGAGCUCCUGUUGAUCUGUCCCAGCUCCUGCCAACCUAGCAGUUCGAAAGCAUGCCAGUGCAAGUAGAUAAAUAGGUACCACUGCAACAGGAAGGUAAACGGCAUUUCUGUGCACUCUGGUUUCCGUCACAGUGUCCCGUUGCACCAGAAGUGGUUUAGUCAUGCUGGGCCACAUGACCCAAAAAGCUGUCAGCCUGAAAGUGAGAUGAGCACCGCAAUCCCGUAGUUACCAUUGAUUGGGCGUAGCCAUUCAGGGCUCCCUUUACCUUUUAUACCCGGAAUAGAAUGAUCAUUUGUAUAACAUCUUAAAUUAGUAGCGAAGCUGUAAUUCGGAGAGCAGUGCCUUCAGACGAAAGACUUGCAAAUUACUUUAUUAUUUUCAUGAUGGCCUUGUUUUUGUUUUUAAAAAAACUAAUUGCAAAGGCUAAAAGAAUGCAAUGAAGGACCCUCCAGACCAGUGUUUUAUUGCAGUUGUCUGCUGCAACAUGUUCUUGACACAACAAUAGCACACUAGUGGUGGAUUUGUUCUACUUUAGUUAGUUGUGCAACACUUCCUGAAUGCUAUCACGUUAUUGCUGUCUAAAGCGGCUAUAGCACAACAAAAGCAGAACGAAAACCAAAGUAGAACGUUUGUUGGAUAAAACGUUAUGGGAUUUCAGCAGGGAGUUAGGGAUCUGCACAAACUGGAAAUGCAUCAGUGUGGCAGCCCCAGAGCGAACAACAGGAUUUCCUGCGCAAGUGUAGCCACAAAGAUAGUGCUGGCAAGAUGGACCUGGCAUGCUGCUUGCAAUUAAGCACACACAUAAGGCGGGGAAGGUGGUUGUGCCAAACACCACCUUUACACUAUGCAUGACUCUCUUUUUUGUUGUUGUUCCAUCCAAAAGCUGAUCCAGCUCAUGCAGGAAUCACUAGGAGUUACUUGCUAAAACGGGAGUUUUAUGAAGUGCAAAAAGCUCCUGGUCACAAGCUUCUCAAGGUGAUGUGUGCAGUAAAAACAGCAGAAAACAGUUUAGAAAUAGGUAAAAGCACCCCCCCCCCCAAUUAAAACCCACCCCAGAUACUUUUAAAACGAAUUCAUGGGUGGCACAUUGCAUUUGCUGUGUGAGAGCAGACCAGCUCUGCCUGUUGAGAAUUCUGAAGGCUUCACCGCUGUCGAAUGGCAGUCAAAUAUGCAGAACGUAAGGAGCCACUGCUAGUCCCUCAUUGCAUAUUUGCUUCUCUCUCUCUCUCUCUCUCUCUCUCUCUCUCUCUCUCUCUCUCUCUCUCUCUCUCGGCUAAUUUCCCCUGCUCCUAUCCCUUUUAAUACUUAGGGGAAAGCAGCUGCCAAGGAAAGAGAUUAAAAGUAGACUGGCAAUCAGAUCCUCUGCAAGUUUGGCUUUGAGCACAAUCGCCUCCAGCUUCCUUUGCAUGCUGGUAGAGGAGUUACCAUCAGACACAAAUGGCAACUCACAAUACAUGACUGAUGGGAUGCAUUCAACCCGGUAUACGAUAAAUUGCACAAUAAUUUCCUUCUCUCACCCCCCCUUUUUAUGGAAAUAUGUAGCUGUGACAACGCAAUGAUGGCAAAGCACAGAAGGUCCACUUUGUCUCACCGUGGUCCAUGCCAAUUGCAAUCUGAUUAUGAGAGGCUAGGUGUUUGACUCCGAUCGUCAGAUUGGCUUUAGGACAGAUUCAGGGGAGGUCCCUGAAAGGUCCCAUUCCUAGCCAGUUCUGUGCUGCUCAGCCAUUUUGUGCAACACUACCGUGCAAAGUGAACUAUGGUGCAGCAGAGACUGCAGCACACAUUGCUGCACCAGCACAAAAAAUGUGGUGCAAAAAACCUUGCAAAAGUAACACAACAGCACCUUCUGUGAGAUGCAGAAACAGCCAUUGUUGUACCCUGUCCUGAAGACCUGCAUACUUGUAUGGUUACUUGGCGGUGUAAGCCCACUGGUCUAUAUCCCUUCAAAUAAAAUAAAAGGGAUAUCAAGAGGACUUGAAUCUUGAGAAGAAGGGAGGUGCCCCCCGAGUGUCCUAGAUUACAGCUCCCUGCCACCCCAGACAAUUGGCAAUACUGGCUGGGGUUGACAGAACUUGGGACGCCAAUGACUGGGGUGCACCAGGUUAGGGAAGACUUUUUUAAAAAAUAAAUAUUUCAGUUCUGAAAUAAUGAAUUGUUUCUAUGAAUUCAGUCUGUCUUACCUGAUGAUUGAUUUAGGCAGGGAGCUGCACAACUUCUCCUGGUUCUGCGGGGGGGCCCACAGAGCAAGGCAAUCAGCCCAGUACAGAGUCAGACCAGUGGUUCAACUAGCUCAGUAUUGUCUACACUGACUGGCAGCAGCUUGCCAGGGUUGGGUGUCUCCUAUCCCUGCCUGCAGUUGCCGAGGAUCCUGGGACCUUCUGAAUGCAAAGCAGAUGCUCUACCUCUGAGCCAUGGCCCUUCCUUUAUAUAAUAAUGGGCCAGAUGGCCAGACAGUUUGACUUUUUUCUAAGGUAGCUUCCUAUGUACUAGGGCAGGGGUCAGCAAACUUUUUCAGCAGGGGGCCGGUCCACUGUCCCUCAGACCUUGUGGGGGGCCGGACUAUAUUUUGAAAAAAAAUAUAUAUGAAUGAAUUCCUAUGCCCCACAAAUAACCCAGAGAUGCAUUUUAAAUAAAAGGACACAAUCUACUCAUGUAAAAACAUGCUGAUUCCCGGACCGUCCGCAGGCUGGAUUUAGAAGGCUAUUGGGCCGCAUCUGGCCCCCGGGCCUUUGUUUGGAGACCCUGUACUAGGGAAAUUCUGAAGCUGAGUGGCAUUCAGUUUAGCAAAUCUGCAAAACUGAAUUUGCUUCCAGUUGACCCGGGUUUAUUCAGCUCCUUUUGCAAUCUGGGAGGUGGAAAGAGCCUAAAAUAAAACGUAAAACAUCAGUGGUCUGUAGUGAAUUUUUUCAUUGGAGAAUUGUUGGGGCCAGAGGCACCAGAUUGCGGGGUGGGGAGGAGACACAUUCCAACAUCUUGAUGUCAUGCGCAAGAGCACCAUGCCUCCCUCCCUAAGCCAGGCAGAAACUUUCUGGGCUUUGGGAAGAAGGUGCCAAGGCUCUGAGAGGAUGCUGGAGCCCUCUUGCCAGGCGUAUGUACUGUAUGCCCUGAGACCUCAAAUACAUGUUACAGCUUACCACAGGGAUGCUACUGAAAUCAGACAGCUACAAUGAACUAUUCAACACCAGCCAUAAUGCGCUGUAUCAAGACCACAAAGCAACCUGUGAGAUUCCACGUGACUCUCAGUGGCCACCUAGAAAACAGAGCAGAGUUGGAUGUGGCAUGGAGACUCAACUCUGAUCAGUGUUGUGGUUAGUUCUGUAUGUUGCAGCUAGGGAACAGCUGGUUUCGAACAAUGCCAACAUUUAUCUGGGGCUGUCAAAUUCAUAUGUGAAUGCUAUCAUUCGCCACAUUUUGGAGAUUCACAAUGGCACAUUGAAGGUAGGAAGUUGCAAUUCAGCUGUGGCGCUCUAGAGUACAUGCAAUGCGUAUGGUGAAAAAAGACCAUAGCUGCCAAGUACCCCGUUUUCCCCGGGAAACCCCCGUUUUUUCAUACCGUUUCCCGGUGGUCCCCCUUAUCACUUCGUCUCCUGUUAUUCUCCCUUAUAUUCUCCUGCCAGCGGCCAUUUCCCCCCCACUGCUUUGCCUAUCUAUGGGCACAAAAAAUGGCCGGCGCCGGCACCAAAAGUCACGUCUACGC